CCCGGCGCCCUCCACCUGCCUGCCACACAUGCCCACACACCCCCAAGUCCCCAGCCCCACACACCCGGUCUCUGCGAGCGUCACACAGCAUCGGUUACGCUGACCUGCGUGUUUCUUCCCUUGCGCUCCCUUUUUCCCGGUCUUGGUUCCGUUGGGACUGGAACAAACUACCCCACCCCGGCCCCCACCCCCCCGCUGUACCCCUGGACGUCGGCACUUCCAUCUUGGAUACACACCGUUCGCAUGAACACGUACACCGCCCCCCACACACAAAGCAGAGGCCACGCUCUCUGCCUCGCUCAUUUGCAUGGGGUUCGGUUUAGUUUGGGCUGGUAUCUACAGCCCUCGCCCCCCCCCCCCGCCCGCCCACCUGGUCUGCGUGGAAGAACACGCGCUCCUCCUGCAGCCCCCACGUCUCGAAGUGCAGCAGGCAGCUGGUGGCGGGGUCCACCUCGGGCGCGUCGGGCGGGGCGGCGCGGGCCUGGCAGCGCUGCAGCGCAGACAGCUGCUCAGAGCGGGAGAGGAGGGGGGAGGACGUCAGAGCGGGAGAAGGUCAAGAGGGGGUGGAUCAGGCGGGGCAGGACCGCAGGAGGAAGGGGCGCAAGGACAAGAGGCCGUGGUUAUGGACGCCGCGUGCGGUGCUAUGGUGAUGCUAUGUUGAUGCUAUCGAAGAGCGAGGUAUGCGAAUGCUGAGCGCGGCCGAGUGCGGUGCAUAUCCCGCACCUGCAGGUGUCCCCCCUCCCACUGCCUCCUGCGCACCUGCCAGCCCCACUACUGCGUUGCUGCACCUACUCGAAGCCCAGGCAGCAGCAAACGACCCCCCCCCGCCCCGCGCACUGCCGACCUGCUCGUCCACGAAGGCCUCGAAGCCCUGCACGGUGUUGCCGUACUUGGUGUUGUAGUGGCUGUAGCGCCAGAACGAGCUGUACAGCCUGUGCGUGUGCGUGUAUGUAUGCGCGUGUAUGAGCGCAAAAGCUUGUAGUACAUACAACAACAUAACGAUGUCCGCCGUGCGUGCGUGUGUGUUGGUGUGGGACGCACCCCCGCCCCCCAUCCGCCCCCGCCCCUGACAUCGCCUCAGCGGUGACGCGCCGCCCCCUCCCCACCUCUCUAUGGGGUUGCGCAGCAUGAUGAUCAUGCGCGGCGGGCGUUUGCCGUACACAGCUGACAACACCAGCGGCAACGACCUGCGAGGGGGGGUGAGGGAGGACGACAGGACGGGAUGACGGGAGAGGGAGGCAGGUGUGCCAACUCACACGACAUCCACGGGGAGGGAGAAAGGGACGUUCCUGUUGCAGUGCCGCCGCCGACAUGGUGUGGAAAACCAUUGACACUCACAUGUCAUUGUACGGGAUGCCGAUCUUCUUUGCGACCUGCAUUACACCGAGAGCAAGACGAAGCGGCCGCGGGGCGGGUGGGACGCAGAGGGGCGCCGUGAGACGCCGUUAGACAGGCGGACGCAAGCCUCAGUGCCGCCAGUGCUCAGUCCUACCACGCGUCGCAUCUGCAAGCUAUCAGCCUCCGCCGACGGGCACAGUGCCACACACCCAACCACCCACCUGGCAGCUACCUCUCAGUGCCACACACCCAACCACCUGCCACACGCAGCUACCUCUCAGUGCCACACACCCAACCACCACCCGCACGCAGCUACCUGGCGGUCGGCCUGCUGCGACGUGGUGAAGCACUUGUCCAGGCAGACAUCCCUGAGGGCAGGUGGCCGGGUGGGCGGGCGGGCGGGUGGGUGUUAUUUGUAAGUGGGGGUUACGUUCAUCAGUUCAUGAUUCAUGAACGAGAAGGGGGGCUGGAGCAGGUGCUAUGUGCCGUGUAGGUGCGGGUGGAGAGGCGCAAGGACGGUGCCGGGCAGCUGGGCGCCGUACGCAGGGCUGGGCAGGGGCGUGGGGUUGGCGCCAUGCCAACAGUCCCGCCGCGGCGCCCAGGAGGUGCAAUAUGCCGGGCGGGACAACAGCGCCCGAGAAGAACAGAGGAGGGCAGGACCGUGGCCCAAGGCAAGGUGCGGUCAUGCCGGCACGCACCGCUCCGCACCCUCCUUGUGGUCGUCAUGACAACCCUUCCAGCACGGUUGCUGCAGCGGCAGUAGCAGCAGCAACAGUAACAGUUAGCGGACAGUUAGCGGGACAGCGGAAACCGGUGUUCAUGCCAGGCCGGCCAAGCUCAGCUGACCCGCAGCUGACCCCCAGCUGCUGCUUGUGAGAGCGCUGGAACCCCUCCCUCCCGCGCGGCCUGCAUCCGGUGCAUGCACCUGCACGCACACGUGCUGUCCCCAUGCAUGUCCCCAAAACCCCCCACGGCUUCAGCCACUUGGGCCCAGGCGCCCCAAACCCCCCCGCCACGCCCCUGGUGGGCUUGUUCUGGGUCUUGGUUCGUGUGGGAUUGGAUCAUGCCUGACCCCUCCCCGCUCCCCUCCCCGCUCCCCUCCCCGCUCCCCUCCCCCGGCCCCCGGGCGCCGUACCAUGGUGGCGAGGAAGGUGCGGUGCGUGCGCACGCCGGGCGCGUAGUAGAAGGCAAAGGUGCUGGCGCUGCCGUCAAUCAUCAUCUUGGGCUGCCUGCAGGCAGGGGCGCGGGCAGGGGCGCGGGCAGGGCAGGGCGCGGGCAGGUGACGCGAGGCGAGGCAGGGAGCGGCAGUUGUGCGGCAGAGACACAAGUUGGCAGGUGCGUGUUGCGACCUGUUCUCCCCGGGUGCCCCAGACACGGGUAUGACUGGUGCCCUGCCGGGGCCAGGCGACUUGAACAGGUCCACGCACCCGGCCUGCGCCCUUACCACCGCCAGCCUACGCCACUCCCCCUGCCUCCUCGCCCCCGCCUCCUGCCCUGCAACCCCUCCCUCCCCCCCCGGCGCUCUCCCCGCACACGCACCUCCGGAUCCACGCCUCAUCAACCGGCUCCGCCGCCUCCUCCUCCCCGGCCGCUUCGCCCUCCCGACUGCCCGCCCCCUCUCCACUGCCGCCGCCGCCGCCGCUGCCCCCGGUCGCUGCGCCCGGCGCCAGUCGCUGCCAGUCCAUGAUUUUGUCGGCGCCGGCUUUGAGGCCGCUGAACAGGCCCGCGCUCUUCUUGUCGUGCUCAGCCCAGAAGUGGUAGCGCGACACGUCGGUCUGGGGGGGGGGGAUGGGUGGCCAGAGUGGCAGCGGUGGCAAGUGGGCUCCCUUAUCCCGCCUCUGGCCGCAGCUCCCGUAACCAGUCCUGGGUGUGGUGCGCCUCAAACCCAUCCCAACUUGGGAUCUACUCGUUGGGCUUGGGCAGGUUAUGACCAUGGCAUGUGAUCCCACCCCCGCCUGUGCUCACUGGCGGCUCGAGAACAUGAUCAUGAAUGUACCCCCCAUCCCCGCGGGUCCCCCCUCCCGCGCACAAACACACUACAUGUCUUAUCACACACACACGCGCGCGCCCCCCCCACCUUGACUAUGAGCGGGUGCUUGUACACCGCCGCCCACAGCGACUGGCUGCCGCACUGGAAGCCGCCCAGGAUCAUGGCGGCGGGCAGGCAGCGCACGCCGCUGCGGUUGCCCGCGUCGUCGUCCGCGCUGCCUGAGGAGUGAGGGCGGGAGGAGUGCGGGGCCGUGCGGCGCCCAGGUGUUGGCGGAGUGCAGCAAACCGGAGGAGCCAGUCGGGGACCCUUGAAGCAACCCUGGCUGACGGCUGAGGGAUGCGGUGCGUGCAUGAGCGCCUAGUGUCUGGGCGGGCUAGGCUAGUGGUGGAGCACGUCCGCGCCCAGUCGCGUCCCUGAGGCCUCAGCCCGAACCAAACCCGUAUUCCGCCGGACAUGCCCUUCCGUAACAGGUGCGCAAGCACUGAUAUAUUCACUCCCUUAUGCUGUUGCCUUGCGCCGCCAGAGCGCUGCCGGCACGCUGCCACGCUGCCCACGCACCCUCGUCGCCGUGGCGCCAGCAGGGGCUGGCUAGCCCCGGCAGGUCAAGGAAGGGGCGGUCGGGCCCGGGGCCGUUGGCGUACAGGUCUGGGUCCAGCACGGCAAGAGCUUCGCGCAGCUCCCAGCCUGCCAGCGUGCAGAUGCAGGUACGGGUAUAGAUGCGCAAGGUGCGGAUGCUUGUGGGGAGUAGGGCGAGGCGGGGCAGGUGGGUCGGGUCCCCCCUAUAGUAGACAGCCAUCCGUGUGCGUGCACCGAACCGCGCCAAACAACAGGUUACCUCGCGGUAAAGCAGCGCCUUGCAGCGCGCGCUGGGCGGAGCCCUCGACCGCUGCAACAUUGCCGAGCAUUAGUUGCGACUUGAGCACAGGCAACAACGUCAGAAGCAACAAUGUUGAUGCUUGAAACCGCAUGCUAUCAAUUCAGGGGCGAUUGGUGCUCCGCAAACAGUAGCCGAUACUCAGUGCUCAAGGCAAGCAGAACUACUGUGCUGCGCAAUGAAGGUCUAAACGACUAAGUCAGAUAUCAAUUUAUUAGGUAUUCAUUAUGGGAGUUGCUAGCUCCAUGUCCCACGGGCCAGAAAGCUUCGCCUGCGAGGGUGCAGUCACUGCAUUCCCUGUUGCACUGCAUGUUUAAGUACAUGAGGCAACAAAAUGCGUUAGUGAUGCUCCCGGGAGCCAACCGGAGCUCGUAGCUUUCCGCGGGCCCGCGCUCGCGAGGAAGCCGAUUUCGCGCCGGCUUACGGUUAUAUUUCGCACAGAGAAUACUACUUAACAGGUUGCAGGCAGUGCGACCCAGGAUUGAAUGAAGGCGCGCAGGUGCAAUCAGCCGGCCGACCCGCUCAAGAGCACCGCGCGAGCCAUUUGUUGCCCUCUUUCCCCUUACAAACUGUGUUUUAUCACAUACAAAAGUCCCCUCGCGUCUGCCGCUAGCUGAUGCAACACUGAAUAGGGGAGGAAGGAAGAGUCCACUCGAAAAAUGGACCAGAACGUGUUUGCUCUGCUCGGAGACGACGAGAAUGCGGACCCUCAUGUCCUGGCGGCCAAGGCCCCUAAGCCGGUGAAGAAGGAGGCCCCCAAGGAGGAGGCCAAGCCGGGUGAGAGUUGCUUUCGGCAUUGCGGCGGCGCCAGCGACAUUUCACUGGCUAACUCCGUGCCCGCCUUUCGUGAUCUGCAGCCAAGGCUCCUGUUGCCAAGCAGGAGGCUCCCCGCGCCGAGAACGGUGGCCGUGGUGGCCGUGGGCGCGGUGAGGGCGGCCGCGGUCGCGGUGGCAGGGGCGAGGGCCGCGGUCGCGGCCGUCCCUUUGUGGACCGCAACGGCGGCGAGGGUGGUGAGGGCCCUGUGAUGGAGCGCACUGACGGCGAGGGUGGUCGCGGCCGUGGUGCCCGCCCCGGCCGCGGUCGCGGUGGCCGCUUCUCUGGCGAGGGCCGCCCGCCCCGCCGCGAGUAUGAGCGUCACGACGGCACUGGCCGUGGGUGAGCUGGGUUCCAUCGAGCUAAAAGGCAUGCGGGUCGGCUUUAAAAGGGAUGCAAGUGCAGCAUGCGUAAAUGGAGCUGGCCCUCCCGUAAGUCACUGGUUAAUUCUCGGCAGUUUCUCAGCUCAUGGGAUCAUCUGCUUUUGCUUCGCAGCCACGAGACCGAGAAGCGCCACGGCAGCGGCCGCGGCAACUGGGGCAAGGAGGGCGACGAGGAGAAGUGAGUACAGAGGCCACGACGGAGCAAUGCAGCCCAGGCACAAGUAGCUUUAGCUCCAAUUUUGUCUGGGAUCGACGUGAUCACCGCCAGAGCCUGUCGCAAACUCGCGUGUUCUGACGCGGCGGCGGUUUGCGAAGCCACCCUUCAGCACCUACUCGCUGGCUCGCCGACCUGUGUAGCCUAGUUCACAAAAUGCUAUCGGGCACCUCGUUGCAGCAAUUUCGGACUGUCUGCGCGCGGAGACCAGUCGCUCGCUUGCACGAUUUGGGCUUUCGAAGUCACUGGAAGCCGUGGCGCAGGUGAUUGACCCAGCUGCAUUGGCAUUUCUACGUUUGCAGGCCCGAGGGCGAGGAGGUGAAGGCCGCCGAGGAGGUGCCCGCUGGCGAGGAGGGCGCCGCUGCUGAGGCCCCCGCCGCUGAGGCCCCCAAGGAGGAGGAGAAGGUCAGCAAGCGCACGCGGCAACCAACGGCCGGGGAAAAUCCAGCUCAGUCAGCACAUCUGUGGGGAGGAUUUCGGAGGGGCGGCGUCAUGGCGGAGGCGGAGACAAGGGGUUGGGGCACACUGACCUGCUCUUGGCGCACCCGCCGAGGCGACAGCGUAGGCUAGAUCCGGAUUCUUCCGUCGAUCAGUACCACCGUCUGCUGUCUCGCCGCGGCUCCUGUGCUCACCGCAUCGGGCAGAGACCUCCCUUGCGCGGCGCGCUCCUGACCGUACACACGCGUUACACGUGCACGGGUACUGAGCUGCAGCACCCUGCGGCUGUGUCCCCGCCUCCGCCUCAAUUUUCGCCUCCGUCUCAUUAUUGCGACUCCCUAAACAGGAGAUGAGCCUGGAGGAGUACGAGGCCCUGAUGGCGGAGAAGAAGAAGGCGCUGAACAAGUCGGCGGAGGCUAAGAACGUGGACCCCAACGCGGAGCUGAAGGGCCUCAAGGUGUUCACCAAGCAGUCCACCGAGGAGCAGGUGCGUGGGGCGCUGGGGGAGAAUACUGUGGCGGGGAUGGCGGGGUUAAGAACAAGGGGUCAGUGAGGAAGGGGCGGGGAAGCGAAGCUGGUCGGGGUGGACGUUGCGAAGGGAGCGAUGGCGCGUGGAGCGUAUGGAGCGUGUGAGACGGGGCGGGCUUCAGGGCAAAGGCGUCGGGGGGUUGGUGGGUGCUACCUCGGGCAGAAGGGAACGGUGUGCGGGCUGGAGAGGAGGGCAGGGCCGGGCGUCGUCUGGUUGAGCGGAGGGAUGCUGGGGGCGUCAUCAUAACGGGUAUCAGUCCUUGAAAGGACAGGCCUGUCUGCCCGCAACGGCAGAAGGCGUGCUCCACGCUCUUGGCUUCAUGACGCGGGCGCACAUGUCACGCAUGUAGUAGUUCACAGCGAACUCAACACGGAACUCGCCCCUCUGUGUCCAUCCCGCCGUUUCUCUCCAGGGCCUGGACCUGGCCGCCGUUGAGAAGAAGAAGGCUGAGGCUGAGCGCGCCGCCAAGGAGGCCGCCGCCGCCUCCAAGGCCAAGGUGCGUGCCGCCUUCAGGGACAGCAGGCGGCAGCAGGGUUUGGGGCGUCAAUGCCCGCGCAGCGGGUUUGGUUGCGCACGGGUUCUGCACAGCGGGCCGAGGGGUGCGCUUUGCAUGUGUGAGGCAGGGUCAGGGCCGUAUUGUCCUUCCGUGCCAGCGCGUUGAAAUCGGCUAUUUCCCUGUGUUUUGUUGCGACAGCCCGUGAUCGAGACCGGCUUCCGCAUUGAGUCCGCCGAGAGCGCCGGCCGUGGCGGCGAGGGCGGCCGUGGUGGCCGUGGCGGCCGCGGUGGCCGCGGCGGCCGCUUCAGCGACCGCCCCCAGAGCGCCCGCGGCGAGGGCCGUGGCGAGGGCCGCGGCGGCCGCGGUGGCCGCGGCGGCGAGGGCCGUGGCGAGGGCCGCGGCGGCCGCGGCGAGGGCCGUGGCCGCGGCGCCGCCCCCGCCAUGGACGAGAGCCACUUCCCGGCUCUGUCCUAAGCGGACGGUGCAGUCGCGAUCGCGACGGCCGGCAUCAUGCAGCGCGCGCCUGUAGCCCUGCUGGCGCCAUGGCGAGCGGCUUCUGGUGCAACGGACUGGUUUUUGAUACAGAGCUGGGCCGCUGAGCGAGGGAGCCUGCGGAGCCGGGGCGGCGACAGGGCGGCAGGCGUGCGCAAUGUGUGGCGCCGCCCACAGCAGAGCACGCCGACAAACGCGGAGGCGCAGCGCAAUGCGAACGUGAGCAUAGGGAGUCCAGCAGCAGCACAAGCGCGGGUUGAGGAAGCGCCGGUGGGGGCCCUCUCUAGGGAAGACGGAGAGAUUGAGCAACGACGGGGGGUGGUUCCCCGUUUUGACAGCAAGAACAAAUCACGAUACCCGACGGUGGCGUGUGCAGGGGUGACUGUGUGUGGCAGGGAUAGUCAGUGCGAUGGUCCCCGCAGGCGCAGGAGGAGUGUGUUGCCGGGUACGGCUUAGUACAACGUUGUUUGAGGUUCAAUCGCAGAAGAGGCUGUGCCGAGGACGUGAGGGCGUGGUGAUGCUGCAUGGGCGGCGUGCCCAUGCAGUGGCAGCGCCAGAACUGGGGCUGUUGCCAUGGUCAAGCGGAAAUGGAGUGUUGGUAAUGUUGGGCGACGUGCUCUCAGGAUUCAGUUGGAUUUUCGCCUGUUCUUCAGUGUCUAGGCUUGCGUUGGCGUGUCGAGCAUUCGCUGCGCAUUCUUGUCCUGCCGCGGCUUCGGCACAAGGUUUUUGGGGCGGAGCAGCUCGGGAGAGCGGGACGCUGGAGUGCAUGAGUGAGAGGACACGUUGGCUUCGACAUUUCCUCCUUGGUGGUAUCGUCAGGAUUUUUAGGACCGGUAGGGAUAAAUGCCGGAUGGGUAGGGAGGGACCGGGGUGUGCUUCCGCUGUGCUGCUGGAUAAUCCAUGCAAAAGAAAUCUGUCUCGAUCCCUUGUUCCUCACUGUCUCAUUAACAAGUUGGCUUGGUCUUAACCAUUCCGAGAACCAGGGGCAUCGUAAUGGAGACAACAGCUGCCCCCAGGCGGGCGAAUGACAACCGUUCAGUCAGUCAGCAAAGUAAGCUUGCACGCAGCCAGCCCAUGUUACACUCAGCUGUCAAGCCUUAGACAAGCAAGUCACGCGUCUCAGCCAGGUUUGAUGAAUGCACAUGCUCACCCUGCAUCCUACACUGCUUUCUGCCGAGACGCCGAGUCACGCCCGCUGUACUCACCGACACGAGGGCCCGAACUUCAUACCAUCCAAGUGAUCAAACAGGCCGGGCCCGGGACUACUAGACUCCGUGACUCCAGGAGGGAUGGGGAGGGAUGGCGGCAUGGAGCGCCCCAAAGAGUGGGCGCCCAGAGUGAGCGCUGUGCCAUGGAACCCCGUUAACCCCGGCAGAUGCGAGCCCUAGCAGCUAGCGCAUUCUACGAAUUGCCGACUGCAUAGGGCGCGAUGUCUACUACACCCCUAUCGGCCCACGCCUCGUCAGUCUUCAUGCCUGCCAGUAUCCGUCGUACGAAUUUGCAGACGCCCGCCCUAAGGAUUGCGCCAACUCUCCUGCACGUUCAGUUCAUUGCGUUACCUAGCACUUUCGCCCACCUGCUGUCCUGCCUACGCUUAACAACCUACCCAGUUGGCGAAGAACCAUGGCAGCCGCGUCGCGCCUACUUGCCAAAUGCAUUGCGUCAUUUGCCUGCCCUCGCCUAUUGUACGAGCUUCCUCAUCCUAAUGGCGAGCCGGGUGCGGGCUCUGCCGGUGCGCGCGCGGGCGGUGCCUCUUGUGGACCAUCCGUCACCGCCGGAGCCGUCGCGCCAGCCACUGCAGCAAACGCUGUGUCCAGCCGUACAGGCACGACCGGUCGGACAGCUUCCUCUGCUACAGCACCAGACGGCAACCUGCGUGCGGCCGCGCCGUCGCUCUCGGAUGCGGAGGACGCAGCAGCUGAGGGUGGCAGGCCGCCGGGCGCCGCUCCAACAACACCGGCCGCGUUCCCCUCGCCAGCGCUACCGGCCGCUGCGUCGGCCUGCCCAGGCGCCUCCCGCUUCGCAGCGGGGGCCGCCGCGCUUCCAGCUCCGAUACUGCUUGCAGCCGAGCUGCCGGCGGCAGCGGCGACGGAGCCGCGGCUCCCCGCCAGCAGCUGACGCAGCUGCGCUCCGCCUGCCGAUGACGGCGGUGCCACGGUCACCACAGACGGCGCCGAGGCGCCCCCGCGACCCCCGCCCGCACCCGCGGCGCCACCACCGCCGCCAUGGCGGCCGCCGCUGCUGCCCCCGCUGCCCGCACCGCUGUUGCCCAUCCUCGCCGCACCCGACGACGCCGCCGGCGGUGGCCCGCGGUGCCCACCGCCGCCGCUGCCACUGCUCCCAACACCAACGCCGCCACGCGCCGCCGCGCCUGCACUUCCAGUCGAACCCGUUGCAGCCGCCGCCGCCGCCGCCGCCGCCGCCGCCGCCGCCGCCGCCGCCGCCGAGGCGGUGGCGCGCAUGCGGCUGCGCUCCAGCGCGCCCGCCAGGUGGCGCAUGAGCGUGUUGCUGCGGCCCAGCAGCGGCGCGUCGUCGUCGUCGCCGUGCUCGUCCAUGUCAUCGUGCGUGGCGCUCUCGUACACGCUGCCGUACUCCUGCAGCGGGCUGUAGCCGCCGUAGCCCUCGCCCUCGUCGCUGUCGCCCUCGCCUGUGCCCGUGGUAGCGCCUGCGGCGGCGGCGCCGCUGCCACCGCCGAAGCGCAGCCGGCGGCGGCGGCCCGCCGCCGCGGCUCCGACGCGGCCGCGGCGGGCGCCGCCGGCGGCGGCGGCGGCGCCAAAGGCCCCGCUGUCCUCGGCGUAGUCGUCGCCGCCGUCGCUGAUGUCGUCGGAGGAGAAGUCCUCGGAGGGCGUGGAGGAGCCGCCCAGCCGCCGGCUGUCGGUGCGAAGGAAGGAGGGUGUGGGCAGGCUGCCGCCGCCGCCGCCGCCGGGGGAGGCUGCGGCCACCGCAGCGGCGGCCCAGGCGCCGGAACCUGCACAGCGCCGGGAGUAGGGGGGUUCCAUUCAUGAUUAGUUAAGGAAGUGGUAGACGGGGGAUGAAAUACGGUAACCGGCGAUUUUCUUCUGUUCCCCAGGCGCCGGCUGGGGACGCACAGCAUAGUUGCAGGCAGGCGCGCACAAUACAAACCCCAAUGUUGCAUGCAUUACAGCCUACAAAGUGUAAGCUGGCGGCCGAACCCCUGCCCUGCCACCAACCUGCAAACGCGCUUGCCCCAGCCGUGCCGUCCGCGACCGGGCGAGUGCCCAGCGGCUUCGGCGAGGCCACGGACGGCUGCCGUGAGGUGGGCACGGACGUCAGCGGCUGCUCCGUGCCGCCGCCGGCUUCGCCAGACAUGGAGACCCGCAUCGACGGCACUGCUGAUGUUAACGCCGAGGCGGACGCUACUGCUGCCGGCGCGCCCGCAGGCACCGCUGUCGGUGCCUGUCCGGGCUCCAGCGCGGUUGGGUGCUGAGCCUGCUGCGACAGCAUGGCUGAGGUGACGGCACCCGACGGCCGCCUUGAGCUAACCGGGCUGGCGGAGGCGGCAGCGACCGCGGAGGUGGACGCAAGCGCGCCGGCUGCUGCUGCUGAUGGCGGCGAAGCCUCCAUUGCAGCCGGCACCGCCUUACUCAAGCUGUUUGACUCCCAUUCGCCGCCGCUAAAGGACGGUGCCGUUGCCGUCGCCGGGCCCGAGGACUGAACGCCGUUGCCGGAGGGCGUACUGGUAUCCGUGCCUUCGCCCGCAGCCUGCAGCCGCCCGGCGGCGUGGGUGCCGGAGUGGUGGCUGCGGUGCUGCCGGUGGUGGUGCUGGCGGUGGUGGCCGUCGUGGCUGCCGCCGCCGGCGGGCGCCUGCUGCUGCUGCUGCUGUGCCGGCGGCACGGGGGGUUCAGUCACGCCGUCCAUUUGCCGGUCCAGGAUGGCGGACGCCACCGCCGCCGCCAGCACUUCAUCGGAGCAGUGGUCGCCGAAACGCGACAGGGCGUUAGCUGCCGCGACGGCGGCGGCCGCCGCCGUUGGCGCGUCCAGCAGCACUGGUGGGGGCCCCGACAAUGCCGAGGGAGCGGCGCCCAGGUCAGCGGCGGCGGCAGGGGUGCCUGAAGGCAAUGGCGGGGCAGCGCCGGAGGCGCCCGUGGCAUCGGAGCGCUUGCUGAAGACCGGGGCGGCGGCAGCCGCGCCGUUGCACACGGCGGUCGCGGCGGAUGACUCGGUGGCCGUGCCGUUGGCCUUGCCCAACGCUGCGACGCUGCCGCUCGCGUCUUCAGAACCGCGAACUCCACCACCGGCAUCUUCGGCUCGUGACGCAGGGGCUGCGGCUGCGGCGCUGGGCUGAGCUGGCGCCGGCGCCGGCGCCGCCGUCACCGCCGCCGUCGUCGCGGCAACCGUGCCGGCACCGCCACUGACAGGUGCGGCAGUGCCGCUUACGUCCAUGUUCCUGAGCCAUGCUGGCAGCACUGCAUCCAGGUGCUGCCGUUGCUCCUCAGAAAGCCCCGCGGCUGCCGGCGCUGCAUCGGCGGCGGCGGCGCCGCCGCCGUCACUGGCAGCACCGCCGCCAGCAACCCCGGUGACGAAACCGCUGCCGCUGCCAAGCAAACCACCACCACCACCACCACUACCGGCACCGCAGCCGCUGCACACGCCCGCGCCGGCACCGCCCAGCACGCCACCUCCCACGGCGCCUGCACUGCUGGCGUGCGCGGCGGGUGACGUGGCGAUGUCCGCCGGCAGCGUGGAAGCCGGUGGCGACCAUGGCACACCCACGGCCGCGUGCAGUGCCUGCGAUGCUGUGUGCGGAGCCGAGGACCCACGGGCGCCCGGCACAAAAGGCGAGGAGGUCCCUGGCGACUGGCCGCAAGGAACGGACGCCCCUCCCCAGCAGCCGCCCGUGGAGUCCUGGGAGCUACGUGCGAAGGAGGCCAGUAGGGAGCCGGCAGUGCCAGCGCCGACGGGGCUGGCGCGCGGGCUUGGGCUGGCGCGGACCGGCAGCAGCAUCCCUGCCGCCGGGCCGCCGCCAGCGGGGUCGCGGCAUGGGAUAGCUAUGGCCGAAGCAGCCAUCGCCGCUGCCGCUGCGGCCGCGUCCGCUGCAGGCUCGGCGUGGGGCCCCGGGGUCGGAGACCUGGGCGCCGCAACGCCGGGUGCUGCGUCUGGUGCUGAGGGUGCUGCCGUGGAGGGGUCCGGCGUGGGCGCGGCUCGCAGCUGCCCAGAAGCGCUGCAGACCUGCGGCGAGGGCGAGCGUGGCGGCAGCGACGGCCGCGGCGCGCAGGGCGACCCCGGCUGCGACACGGGUGGCAGCGCACCCGCUGGCAGGCCCCCAUUCGGCUGCGGCUGCUGCGACUGCUGGCGGGCUAAGUGCAGCAGGCCUGAUAGCACCGCGGGCCCACGCAUAGGCGAGCCGCUGCCGCACACGCCACACACACCGCCGCCGCCGCCGCUUGGGCCGCUGCCGCCUGGACCCGCAACCGCGGCGCUGCCGUUCAGGCUGCUGCGGUCGCCGUGCGGCGGCGCCGAGGCCUGGAUCUGGAGCCCGUGCAGCCCGCGUGCCUCAUCCUCCUCCUCCUUCCUGUCCGCCUCCCGCUCUGGACCGGCGGCGCUGCCGGCAACUGCAGACCCAAAGCUGGCUUCGCCUCCGAGCUGGCUGUCGAGGCCUGCAGGCGGCAGCGGCGCAGCCGCCGCCGUCCCCAGCCGCAGGCCUGAUGUCCCCGGCGCCGCGCCUUCCAGCGGCGUUGCAUCGGCGCUGCUGCUGCGAACCUUCCCCGCCGCGGCGUCCACCCGGCGGGGCAGCGGCGACGCGCGCACGCUGCGUAUCCCCUCCGCAACCUGCGGCGGCGAGAACGCCACCCCACUGUCCAGUAGCUGUAAGCUGUCGUCCUCGCCGCUGUCUUCGGACCGCCUGCGCUCCUCGCUGUCGCUCGCGCCGGAGGCCACCAAGUCAACGGCUUGAGCGUGACGGCUGGGCCGCCUGUGCCUGUCGCCGCUGCCGCUGCCGUUGCUUGCAUUCGCCGACAGCAAGGGCGGCCGCUGCAGCAGCGCCCCUUGCUGCGGCCGGUGCGACGGCGACCCGAUCUGUGGGUGUUGCUGCUGUUGCUGCUGUUGCUGCAGCUGCUGCAGUUGCUGCUGUUGCUGCGUCAGCAGAGCCAGCUGCUGCGCCGCGUCGCGCGGGCUGCUGUGGCUCCCCCGGCGGUUCUCGACCUCCUGCAAGCAGCAAACAGAGAGUUGCAGGGCGUUCGGCAGCGGACAGGACGUGGCAGCCCACACGUCUGCAGCGCUCUCAAGGAGCGGCGCAAUCCUUGCGGCAAGGCCAGGAGCUACAAGCCAGGAUCCCGGAGUCGGGAGCCAGGAGUCGGGACGCACCGGCGGCAUGGGGAAGUGCAGCGGGUGGCUGCGAGGGCCCUGGCCGUGCUGCUGCAGCCUGGGACUUCGCGGCUGGUGCGGGGAUGAGGGAGGCCGAGUCGCGGCCGCCGGCGGCGCGCCUCCGCCCCCUGUGCUGCUAGCUGCGUCAGGCGUGCCCGCGACGCCCGGGCAGGCACCGCCGCCACCACGGCCGCCGACAACAUGCUCCAGCACUGCCUGGUGCGUGGCGGGAGAGCCGUUGAGUUGCGCGUGCGCGUCCGCCACGGCCGGGGGAUGUUGGACCUGCGACAGCAGCACGCAUGUCGGGCUUUCUAAUUGGCGGCGUGCGUAGGCCCUGACUAGGCUAGCUGCAACUUGCAUCAGUAUGGCAGCGUCGGUGUGCGCAACAAGACUCCGGCGAGGCCUGGUGCGGGAUGCAUCUACAGUGGUGUCGCGCUUACCUGGAGUCCGCUGCGCGCCGCGGAGCUGCUGCUUCGUGCUGCUCCCGGCGCGCUGCCACCAUUCGUCGCGUCCGCAACAAUGCCCUGCUCCGCAGCCAACGCCUCAGCGGUGGUGCUGGCAUCCGGCGCAGCCGCCGGCCCCGAAUCCGGCCCUAUCCCCAGUCCCAGGCCCAGCGCGGCUUGGGCAUGCGCCUGCCCUGCCGCCGGCGCGGAAUCCCUGUGGAACACGCGCGGCGAGCCCAGCACCCGCGCGGCCUGCCAUGUGCCCGAGUUUUCUGCGGUAGGGGAGGCAGCGAAACACACGACCCAACUGGGCGUUCAUACAGGAUUAGGGCGUACGCAGGCAGGUUGGCUCCGCGCGCAGAUGCACGUUUGUCCCGGGUAGGGGGGGGGGCUUCCGGCCUUGUAGACGCAAAGGUGCGCAGCCAUCGACAACGCGCCGUCUCACCUCGCCGCACCGAUAUCGCUGCCACCGCUGCCGCCAGUCCACCUGCCGGCGCUGACGCACCUCCUCCCCCGCUCCCGCCCGCGGCGUGGUGCCCGUUGCCGCUGUCGCUCACGCCUGACCCCGCCGGCGGCGGACCUGCAGCCAGCGACGCCUGCCCGGCCGCGCCCUGUCCCGGCGCUCCUGCCGCCGCCGUAGCUGCCACCGGCCCCGCUGGCCCUGCAGCCGCCGCGCCGCCGUUACCGCCGCCGUUGCCACUACCUUUGCCGCCGCCGGCGCCACUGUUGGCCGCGGCUGCCGCCGCCGCCAGGCCGUCCACGACUCCGCUGUACUCGCUGUGCAGCAUGCGCAUGGUGCCGGAGCCGGCGUCCAGCACCGCCUCGCCCUUCAUCAUGCGCUUCAGGCAACUGUGUUGCAAAGCACAACACAGGGAAUCAAAGCGCAAACACAGUGUGUGAGAUGCAGCAACGCGAGGGUGCGGGCAGCUGCGUGUGCGGCAGCAGGGGCAGGGCGGUUCCAGGCACGAGUGGGGCGUGUGCAGGGAUGGGCAGGCCCGUGGCGCAUACGUGCCUGAUCCUGAUACAAUCAUUGUGAUUAAGAAGCAAAGCAUCCCGGAAGAUGGGGUGGGUGGUGCCGGUGUUCGCUUAGUGACACCCGCAUCUUAGCAUGCGAGCCCAACCAGCGGAGCGCGGGGGACGGAGGAGGGGCUGUAAGAAUCUUAAGGGGAGUGGCCGAGUGUGAGCAGCGGUGGCUGCUGGGUCCCGCGCGGCCUCACCCCAGCAGUGUGAGGUGGAUGAGGCCCACGGAGCGGUCGAUGUUGGAGUUCUCCACGCAGGGGAUGGCGUGCUUCUCCGCCUUGCGCAGCAGGUACUCCUAAGGCAUGAGGGGCAGCGCGGAGCAGGGGCAGAGGGAGGCAGGGUCAGAGGGAGGCGGCGGGGGACAGUGCGAUGCAGGGUGAGAGCAAGGGCUGGGCGCAGCCGCUGCAGUCGCUGUAACACGAGGUGAGUGACGGACAACACGAAGCCGCGGUAAAGCCGUCAGGUCAGAGUGGACCACACUAAAACGCUACAAGUCACACCAGUGCAUGCUGGGAUUGCUGGCCCCCGGCCCAAUGCCCCCUCCCCCCUCGGAUCUGGUACGGUAAGUGGUAACCCGCAGGGCGCCGGUCAUGCACGACCCCUCCCGCCUCCGCCCUUCCGGGCGCGGGCGCACCUGGAUCCAGCGGAUGUUCUUCAUGUUCUUGACGUACUUGUUUUUGUUGGGGUCCAUCGUCAUGUACUUGGCGCGAACAGCCAUGCGCUCCACGUGCUUGCCUGCAGAGCACAGAGCACACAUGUGAAGUGUCGCCGCAGGUGACGCGCAUACGAGCGGGACGCGAGGAAGAAGGACGCGGCGGCAGCAACGACAACGAGGCGGGCGCGCGUAAGUCACACACCGCGGCACACUUUCAGUAGCGGUCGCAGACACCGUGCAUAGACACAACGCACGCUCGGCAACGCCCCCGCCGCUCCCAGGCUUGUGCCGCUCCAGCCAGCCUCCAUCCCUGCACAACAACACCUCAACACCUGCCAACAGCCUCCCGGCCUUCCGACCCAUGCGCCACCUCGCCUCCGCCCCUGCCCCUGCCCCUGCCCCUGCCCCUGCCCCUGCCCCUGUCCCCGCCCCCGCCCCCGCCCCUGCCUCCCGCCCCUGCUCCUGCCCCUGCCCCUGCCCCUGCCUCCCGCCCCACCCUCGCUCUUGAUGUAGACCAGGAAGGGCACCACGCCGGGGUGCCUCGCCGCCAGCCGCAGCACCAGCCCCACGUGCAGGUGCACGCCCUCCACCACCAGGCUCUGCCGCCGCGCCUCGAAGCCGCUGAUCAGCUGCUCCAGCUGCUCGCUCACCUGCGCCGGCGCGGGAGAGGCAGUCCGGAGGCACGGGGCCGGGAUCAGCUCUGUGGGGCGGACACGACUCAGCGAGCGAGCGGGCGGGCUAGCUGGUCAGGUUACGGUACGUGACGCCACCUACCAGCUCGCACUGCGCCUUGUAGCCGCGAAUCGCUAGCUCGUGAGGCGACAGCGCCGCAAGGCCUCCGCCCGCGCCCGCGCCCCCGUUUUGGUUGGGGCGGGACGGCGGCUGCGGCUGUGACGCGUCACGCCCGGCCGCUGCCUCCUCCCCUGCCACCUUCGCUGCGGUCGCUGGCCCUACCCCUGCAGUCGUCCCACUCAGGCCGCCACUUGCCAACGUCCCACCCCCACCAUCCGGGCCCACAUCUCCCUGCUCCGCCCCCCGCCCCGCCCCGUCCAGUUCUGCUGCGGCGGCAACCGCCGCCUCUCCGGCAGCAACCGCCACCGCCUCCGCUGCCACCGACACGCCCGCUUCUGCUGCAGCAGCUGUCUCUGCUACAGCCGCCACCUGCUGCUGCUGCUGCUGCUGCUGGCGGGCGGCGGCGUGCCUCGCCUCGUCCAGUGCGUGCUGCUGCCUGAGCGCCUCUCCGGCCUCGUAGGUGGAGGCGAACAGCAGCGGCGUCUCCUCGCGGCGGGUGAAGCUGCGCAGCAUGUGCCGCACGCUGUCGGUGGACAGCACCGUGCUGAUGCCCAGGCGGCCGGCCUGUAGAUAGAUUACGUGUGAGGUGGUGUGGAGUCUCAUGUGUGGGGAUGUGGGUUGGGGCGCGCCGGGCGGAAGGAGGCCGGGGGAGUAUGGGGCAGGCUCAGCGGGCGGGAGAACGCGGCUACUGCACUGGGGCGGGCAUGUAUGACAGCCGCGGCGCCCCGGUGCAGACAGUCAGCCCCUUGGAUAGGUGUGCGAACCCUUGCGCAGAGGUGUGACAGGCCGCAGGCCGCACGCACCAAGAUCGACGCAAGCGUGGACUUGCCGCUGCCGCUGGUGCCGCAUAGCAACACGAUGAUGUGCCGCCGUCGCUCCUUCAGGCUGCGAGAGGUCCGGCCAAACCAGCAGUAGGUUACGUCAUCAACAUCAAGCGAGCGAUUUUAUGGCUGUAACUUGCAUCCGACGUCAGUGUAACCCGUCUCGGUGGUCAAGCAGAGACGCGUCGGGCCGUGCCGUGUCUGCCCUCUUCCCUCUACCAUACUGCGCUCGGGCCCUCCUACAUGCCUCUCACCUGCACGCUGCCUUGAUUUCGUCCGAGGACGGCACAUACUUGUAGUUGUACUCCGUGAGGGUGCUGCAGACGAGCUCAUAGAACUCCGAGCGUGGCAUCGUCACAUACACAGCACCCUCGUCGUGACUGCCCACGCCCCAUAGCUGCCGGCUGCCCGAAGCGAAUUUGCUUCCUUCGGCGGUGAAGCGCUCCAGCUUUUGGAAGACCAGCUGGGCGGCCUUGUAUGCAUGGCGGGGUUUGCAGCCCAUGAACUGCAACAUUCCCCGGAUAGCAUCGCGCGUGUAGCGAGCUCCCGACGGCUUAUUCUCAGAUGUUGGGCAGUCCAGCCCUUUCGUGACCACGACGAACGCCACGCUCGCGCGCGCGGGCCCCGGCGCGACCCCGCUCGCCUGCUCCAUAUCCUCGCCCGUUGAGAGUUGAUUAGCUCAUUUAUAGCCUACACAAGAAAAGAAGCCGUCUGCCUGUGAACUGGCCUUGGACCCGGCGAAAACAGUCCAUUUUGCAUGUAUGGCGCGAAGAGCUCUUCGCCUAGCCUAGCUAAUCAUACGAGAAUACCUGCAUUAAGAUGUGUGUAAUUAAAUGUUUCAAGCGAACGUGGACUUGCUGCUGCCCGGUGCUGCCCUCAGGUGACGCGUGCACCUUCUCGCGUGUGCAGCGGCCACGACCCCGCCCUCCACUCCUACCCAUCGGCCCGUCCUCGCCUUGAGGCCGUAUGCUCCCCGGCCCUGCUACGUACUACCAGGGCUCCUAUCUUGAUGUCUCCAGACAUUAAUCGGCCAUUUUGACUGUUUUUCCUAGACAUUCCUCCCGGGGGCUAAUGUCUGGGGCUAGACUUGAUUGGACCGGGGUUGUCCGAAUUCCUGUGGGAAAGUCCCCAAACCGCAUGUGCCCAGACCAAAUACGGCGGCCACCCGUUCUUGUUCAUCUGAGCUAGACAUCACCCCUGAACACAAUGUGCGCCCCCCGGUAAGUACGGUACGUACAUUCACGCUCUAUUCAAGGAGGCCUGUACAGCUGAAUCCCAUGCACAUCCAGUCAAUCUGUUCAGGUCCAGCUGAGUCCAACCUGAUGCCACGGCGGCUAUUUCCCCAUCCACACGACCGCUAUUUCCAACCUGGUGUACGGGGCCUCCCGAUGGUGACCACAAAUUGUCAACUCAACGAAGUGCCAAUUACACGGAGGGCCGUGCGUUGCGGGGCUAUAGUCUUACAGAGCUGCCUGCUGCCGCGUCAAACCGGCAAGGAACACGUAUGCGUCCCUCAGAUGGCGGGCGCUAGCAGCCUCACAAUGCAGUACCCCUCCGUCGAAACCCACUCGGAUUGCGUACACUUUUCAGGCAACUGCUCGAGGCUUUCCACCCCGGUGGCGUCUCUAGACCAGAACGCUAUCGGGUCCCGUCACCUCAGCCUGCAGCAACUCGUAGAAAGGCACCACGGCCAGCGCGUUGGCGCGGCCAGCUCCCUGAUCUGAUGGUUUCUGCACAUCGCCUCCUGCCCCUGCAUUCCCACCGCCGGCCAACACUCGCUGCAGGCCUUUGAGUCGCCACGCGCUGGUGGGGCGAAGUAGGGCCUGCAGGCGGGGUGGGGAGGCCGGCAGGGAGUGGGUUAGUCGGGGACAGAGGACAGCCGUUGAGUUCCUAGUACAAGCAAGAGCAGAGGGUGGAGGGACAGAGGACCACCGGCAUGGCCACGGCACGGAAGCAACCGUGCCAACAUGGGCGUGGCGAAGACAAAUGGCUGCUACACGCAGCAGCACUUGACAUGGGAACACUCGCCCCUGGGAUUCAGUCUAUUUGCGUCGCACCCGGAGCGCGUUAGGCGUGUUGCACAGCGACUGCCGCGGCCCCGCCGCCCGCCGCAGAGAGCUCGCAAGCGCCGCCAGCCGCGCAUGCGGGUCUGUCCGCGAGAACACGUCUGAACUGCCGGCGGCUGAAGCAGCUGGCGCCUGCGGCUCAGAUCUCGUGUCACUGCCGCCGCUGUUGCUGCGUGUGGUGCUGCUGUUGGUGCUGCCAUUGCCACUUCCGUUGCCACUCCCGUUGCCAACGCCACCUCGGGCCUUCUGCAGGGCCGGCGCGUCCGCAUCAAAGUCCCAUGGCGACAGCACACACACGUACAUUGGGGCACGUUCAUAAGCCGGGUUCAGCGGGCCCAGGCAGCCGAGUGCCACACCAGCACCCGGACUGGAGGCAGCCCGUCCGCUGACGCCUGUGUCGCGGCUGCCAGCGGCGUUCCUGCCGCCGUCGCCAUCGUCAGCUACAACACCAGCGCCUGCUGCUCCUGCUGCGCUGCCAGCAAGGCGCGCAAGCUCCGAAGCCACACGCUCCACCGCCGCAGCCGACACGCCGCCCAGUCCCACACCCUGCAGCGCCUGCGCUCCAGCUGCGGCAGAGGCUCCAGCCGCUGCCAUCCGUCCCACGCCGCUGCUCUCGCCCCUUCCCUCGCCGCCACCGCCAACAGCCGCAGCAGCACCGGGCCCCGCAGCUAGGCCGCUGGGCUGGACGCUGAAGGUCAGGCUCAGGUCCACCAGGCCGCCCCGAGGGCCCAUCUGGAACACGAGGCAGGCCAGGCCGCGAGCCGCCAGCGCCGCCGCCAGCGCUGCGACAUAGGGCGCGGCGGAGGCUGCAUGCAUCGCGUCAUGCGGGUGCAACGGCAGUGACAGCGGCAGCGCCGCCAGCGCUGAGGACCCCAGCGGCGCGGUUGGCGCCUGCGCUGAAUCCUGCUCCACCCGCUGUUGCUGCCGCUCCUGCUGGUACGCCUGCACCCGACCCCAAGGCACCGUGGACAGGUCUGUCCGCAUGCGCGUCACGCGGACGUUACGCAGAGCCCGCUGCACCGCCUGCGACUGCCGCGCACCGCGCUCCUUGCAACCGCUGCCGCCGCCGCCGCCGCCGCCGCCGCCGCCGCCGCCGCCUGCCCCUGACGGCGCUGCCGACGUCGUUGUCGCCGGCCCUUCUCCAGGUGCUGCAGCCUGCCCAGUCCGCACGCAUGCAGACGCUCGUGCGUUCCCCAGCGGUGUCAGCCGCAGCGCGUCGUCCAGCUCUCCAUCGUCGUACGCGCGCGCAAGCCCCUCUACGCUGCCGUACCGCAGCAGCAGGUUGCGUGCCGACUUGGCACUAACCCCCGCCCCCACCACCCCCGCCUCCGGCUUGCCGACCAGCGCCAGCAGGUCUGGGUACGCCGCCGGCGGCAGCAGCUGCUGAGGCGCUGACCCAGAUGCCGCUGACCCAACAUGUUCUGUCCCGGCGCCCAAGGAACUAGAAGCUGCCUGAUGGAGCCGCAGCAGCUCCGAUCCCGGGCCCACAGCUGCGGCUCCCAUAACGCCUGACGUGGGCGGCUGCGUGUGGCUGAAAGCCACCAGAGCGGGCGACACCGACACUGCCAGCGGCGGCGGCUCCUGUGCGCUGGCGGCGCGGCUGAGCUGCCUCAGCUCCAGCCAGGCCACACCCGGCAGCGCCAGCAGCUGCAGCAUGUCCGCGUCGCCGCUCGCCACCAGCACACGCAGCGGCGGUGGUGCGGCAGGGGCAGCUGUGGCUGGCCCGUCCUGGGCGCCUUGCUGCUGCUCCUGCCGCUGCUGUUGCUGCCCCUCCUGCCCCUCCUGCUGCUGCUGCUGCUGCUGGUGCUGCUGCUGCUGCUGGUGCUGCUGCUGCUGCUGGUGCUGCUGGCACUGCUGCCCGGCAGACAGGCCCGGUUGCUGCUGCUGCUUUGGCGGCGGCGGCAGUGUCAGCAGGCCCGCUGUUAGGGAGGCGAUCAGGUCGUCUGCCUCCAGGCCGGGUGCGCCGUACAGGGCAAGGCCGCCGGCACGCCGGAUUGCCGCCACAAAGGGCGCCAAGUGCGAGGGCGGCAUGUCCAUCAGGCACUCCACCUCAUGCAGGCGCGGGUGCCGCGGCUGCGGCGGCCCUGGGGAGGAGUGGGCACCAGUACCAGCACCAGCAGCAGCAGCAGGCCCCGCCCCCGGCCGUGACUGUGGCAGUGGCUCAUGCCGAGAUGCGCUGCUGAUGCAAACGGGCAGAAUAUCUGCAAGACGCAAGGCGGCAGGUUCAUGUUGUGAGACGCUGGCUGGGGCUGUGUGCCUCUGUCAACUGGCGCAUGUGGCGCUUUGUGCUGCUGUUCCGAGCCCCUGACCCUGUACCUCCUAGUCAUCUCCUACUUUCAAAUGAAACAAUCUCCUUUGCGCCUUGCGAGCCCCACACCACCGACGCCGCACCUGAGCGCUUCUGCUCGGCGGCCGCCGCGCCGCCUGUGCCGCCCUGGGACCCGCGCUGGCUCCCUCCGCGGCCGCCCUUGGCGUGCCGCUUGUCCAGAUAGCCCGGCACCAGCACCCGCCGCUCCUCCUGCACUGCCACCGCCACCCCCGCCCCAGCAGCAGCACUUCCUCUCCCCGGACCGCCGCGGCCCCCGGCUGCUUUGCCCCGCUUGUUGUCAAAGACCACGUACGUCGGGCCUGCGCGCGUCAACCGCUGCAGAGACUGCAGCCAGGCCUCGAAGGCCUCCGCGUGCGACACGCCCCAGCCCCUGUCCGCACGGCACUGCAUGAGCAGGUUGGUUCCGUCCACCACCAGGACGGGGGCGGGGGAGUCCGUGGGCCCGGGAGAGGGCCCCGGGGAGGGCGACUCAAGGCGAGCUGCAUCGUCGCCCGCUGCAGUGCUGGUAUCAGUGCUGACUGACACCCGUUGUGCUUGUGCGAUGUGUUUCGCCCCAGCGGCUGCGCAGGACUGUUCUAUGCAAGUUGCUUUAUAAGUGUGUUGCAAAAUAACGGAGGAGCUGAAGCGCUGCAGGCUGCAGGCGUAGGUUGCACGCAGUGGUGCCGACGAGCCGAUGCGUGCUGAAUUGAACAAAGUAUGUGCCCCAGUGUUGAAGCCUUUCGCCGUGGCUUGCAUGUCGCCCGCAGCGACGCGCUGCAGCCAUGAACUAGGAGAAAUAGUGUGCUGUUGUUACGUUAUUUAAGUCAGACGAAUAGGCUGUGUUCACUAUGAGGUGGUCGAGUCGGUCGUGGAGCCCGUAGAGCAGCAACGCCAGCCCUGCUGCAGGCUCGCGACAAAUGUACGGCACAGCCGCUUGCGCUCUAUAGGCCGGCUCGCGGCCCGUUAACAUAUAAAAUACAUAUAGCUUAGAUAUUAUAAGCUUCCACACUCAACAAUCAGUGCAAACCAGCACAUUCCAUCGCUACUGGUCUUUCUAGCGAGGACCCAACUCCCAUCCAAACACCAAUUUGCGUUCCCUCGCACCUCAUACCUGGAAUUUCAACACCUGAAGUAGCCCAAAUAGUAUUCACUCGGUCGGCUUUGCACGAUGGCCCACUCGGCUUUUUGCAUCGCCAUGGCGCUUGGCCUUCUGUGCCGCGCGGCGGUCGCCAUCGACGCAGCCCAGUCUACCGCCAGCUCUAGCCAGGACGCCUUCGUCGGCGAGAAAUUGCUCCACCGGUGGCGGGAGAUGCUGUCCGCCCGCGCGGACAAGGGCGAGCCGGCCCCCUCGGUCUUCGAGCAGGCCUUCACCGCCACCUUCACCAGCAAGCAGGAGGGCGAGGUGGAGCGCACGCUGGAGCAGUUCUCGCAGCUGAUGGCCUGGGUGGACACCACGCCGUCGCCCAACGCCACGCAGCUGGCCUUCCUGCCCGAGCUGCGCUCCGACGCCGCUCGUGAGUUGGCGGCGCUGGCGCUCGCGCUCGCCAAGAGCGAGGGCGCCGACGCCAAAGCGCUGGUCGCCUCGCUGAACGCCAUCAGCGCCAAGCUGCAGUCCGCCUCCUCCUGGCGCGGCUACGCCGCCGGCCGGCGCAUGCUGGUCGGCGCCAUCCUCAAGAAGCGCAUGGACUUUGGCGGCCGCUUCCCGCUCGAGGUGCAGGCCGCCGUGGACGCGGUGAUGCUGCAGCUGUUCCAGAUGCACAAGCUGUCGGUGGCCAACCGCGGCGCCGUGCAGUUCUUCCACGUGUCCAAGUCGGGCGGCACCAACCUGUGCCAGAGCGCGGAGGCAAACGGCUGUGCCAGCCAGGGCUUUGACACGCGCACCAACUGCCUCAUUCGCGAUUUUGCCGACCAGCCGCGCUGGGUGACCUACAACGCGCACAAGUACGUGCAGUACCGCAUGAGCAGCCGCCAGGCGCUGCCCUGGUUCGUCAACUUCCACACCUACCGCGCGGAGCUCACCUGCGACCAGCGCCGCGCCUACCUGCUGCGCAACGGCCUCACCUUUUACGCCAACGAGUACACCAACCCGCCCACCGGCAUCCCCGCCGGCGCCUCGGCCGAGGAGGCGGAGGCCGCCACCAGCGGCAUGUGCGAGGACUUUGUCAACCUCAUCAUGUUCCGCCACCCGCACGACCGCCUGCGCUCCCAGAUCGGCUGGGUGCAGAAGCUGUACAAGGAGUUCUAUCUGGACACCGACACCCAGAAGUCCUUUGUGAACCGCACCACCGGCUUCUGGGAGCGCCUCAUGCCCGCCGGCGUGAACAACUACUACAUCCGCUCGCUGCUGGGCCAGCGCUUCUUCGAGUUCCCCGUCACCCAGGUCAGUGCGCCGCCGCCGCCGCCGCCGCUACCGCCGCAGCCUUCGGUCUUGUUGUGGGGCCCACCUGCACACCUGCACGUACUGCUUCUCCCGCCUCCCUCCCUCCGCGAACACGGCACUAAAAAUUCCGCUCCUCCUCUUCUUUCCCUUCCUCGCCCCAGGUCCUGCCUCAGCACGUGACGCUGGCCAAGCUGGCGGCGCUGCAGCACGACAUCCUGCUGUCGUUGGACGCCAAGCCGCGCAACGAGCUGGCGCUGCGCGUGGGCCUGGGCUGGGCGCAGGCGCUGCGCGACGACGUGAUCCGCUCCUCCGCCGAGCUGGGCGACGCCGUGGCGCUGCCCAUUGACUAUACCACCAUGCUUGAGCGCAACGCGCCGGACGUGGAGGUCUACAACUUCGCGCGCGAGAUGCAAGCGCUGGACACGCUGCUGUGGAACUUCGUGUCCAUCGCCGACGCGCAGCUGGGCGGCGGCUCCAACCUGAGCAGCGACAAGUGCGGCUAUGUGAGCAUGGGAACGGAAGCGGCCGUGCAGGAGCGUGAGAAGCGCUACGCCGAUGUGGUCAUCCCCGCCUCCAGCCUGCGCACCGGCGGCGUGGGCGUGAACGGCGUGACCGGCGCGCCGCCCGCUGACACCGCGGACGCCGCCGCCGCCGCCGUGCGCGCCGCCGACAGUGCUAACGUGGAGGGCGAGCAGCAGCCGGCUGGGGCGAAGGAGGAGGAAAUGAGCACCGGCACUGGCAAGUCUGUGCUGCGUGGCGCCGCUGACAGCAGCAGCAGCAGCAGUACCGACACUACCAGCAAGCGCGUCAUCUCGAUCAGCCGCCGCACACGCAGCAGCAGCCACCGCCGCAUGCUGCACUAGAGUGCCGAUGAUUGUUCGCACUGCAGCAGCGUGUGUGUGCGUGGACUGUGUGGUGUGCAAUGAGUGUGGCGUGUGCAGGAGAGCGCAAGCAACUUUGCAGUGGAUGGAUAGUGCAAUGUGGUGAAGGUCGUGAACUAGCGCCGCUGAUUGGGCGGCAACGUAGAUGACGAGCAGGAGGGCCAUCCAUAUCUGUGGCUGUACGAUCAUAUACAGCAGACAAGAAAUAGGCAUGCAUAUAUCACUUAGCGUAUGAUUCUAGCCACCUACUCUAGCAAGCGUGAUUGAUUCCAACGAAGUAAUUGAUUGGGCAUAUGACAACAUGACACUAGACGCCGCGCCGAUUGUGCCGGCAGUAGCGAGAGGCAUGCCAAGCGCCCAAAUGGCUGCGAAGCGCCUCAAUGAUUGGAGAGCCGAGUGGUGGCCGCGCCGCAAGGCACGUAGCAUCACAAGCCUUUACAGGCAUCCCCUGCUGAUGACCUGGGCUGAUGAAUGGAAUGAAGAACGUGUCCCGUGAGGCGGUGACCGGCAAGCAUACCGAGCCUGUCAUGCCAACAUCGCUGUAACCUCUCGAGGUCUGCAACCAACUUCCCUUCUCGGAGCGUUUCGACUUUCGCCCAGCGGGUGGCACACAACAAGAGGUCUCAGCAGCUGGAUCAUGGGGGCAUGCCCACCAGCAGUCACAGCAAAUGCCCCCCAACCAUACGGUAGUCAGUCCCCCGAGCGUCUGUGUUCACCUGAGUUGUGGGUGCGGAUGCAGGUUGCAGCUGACUAGCUGAAAGCUGAAAGCGCGCUCAUGUUGUGACACCGUCCCAGCACGUACGCGCUUCAUACCAGGGGAGGUGCACACGCUGCUCCUUGCGCUGGCCGCACCUGCCUAGCCGCUGUGUCGCUAUGCCGCGUUGGUUGAGGGGCCGGGUGUCGGCAACGCAGGGGAAGGGACAGGCGGCGCCUGCAAGGCGAAUCCUUCAAUCGGCGUUUGCGGCUGAAACGGCAGGCCGUUUACCGGCGGCGGUACAGGUGUCCUGUCCGCGGGAGACUCAUCACUCAUGCCGGGGAGCCCACACACGUCCUGGACCAGCGUGAAUCCUCUUUCAUUACUUGCUUAAUACCAGUGUAAGAGCUAAUGCUCGGAAAACAUGUGCACGUGCGCACAGGUGACUGCCCCUAGGAGCGUCCCGGAGCGGGAUUCGUACUUGUGAAAAACUUCAUAGUCCGCGGUUGGGCUUGGUCGACACUUAUUAGUACCCCCAGCACAACCCAUGCCCUCAGGUUGACGCCUUCAAUCGCUCCUACACGCUACAGUCAAACUUUGCGAAAUUGGCAAAGCCCGCGCGGCAUUUGUUGCAUUCGACGGCAGAAUGCUUGCGCGCUGCAUGAGCAUGGCUAGCACGACUGUCCGCGGCCAUCUAGUCCGUGGCAGCUCUGGCUCGCUCAGCGCCAGCGUCGCGCGCGGCACUGGAGCUGUGCGCGUUAUGGCGUGGGAAUGGAACCCCUUUGCUGGCGACCAGCAGGCGCGCGAUGCCUCUAUUAAGGCCAAGAUGGCAGAGGCCAACAAGGCGCUGGAGCAUGACAAGAUGCUGUGGUAAGAAAGCUAGUCAUGUGCGUUCUUUGCUUUCGGGCUCCGACAUGGCUGUCGCGACAGCGACUUCGAACCCGUGGUUACUCCAUUACGCGGAGCAUGCAUAUACCAAAGUAUGGUGCAGGUCCUUAGGGAUCUGGUAGUCGCGCUCUGUCGUGUUCCGCACAACAUGCCUGAUUUUUCCCCCUUUUCACCCCUGUUCGUUUUCCCUCACCCCCGCUAUCCCUGCAGCUACCAGUGCGAGCAGACCAAGAGCGGCACCGGCUGCACCGAGAUUGGUGGGUGAUUCGCUCAAUUCCUGUAAAUCUUGCCUACCGUGACUCCUGUGUGCCCUCACGAUGCGGCCUGCAUUUGUUUGCGGCGCCGCACGUAGCUAGCCCGCCGUCGGCCUUUUGUACCGCACUCACUCGCUUCCCCGCUCCCGCUGUGCCCCCACCCUCCCCUCCUUCCUAUUCCGCGUGCAGGCGUGUGCGGCAAGACCCCCGAGGUCGCUGGGCUGCAGGACCUGCUAGUGUACUCCGUGAAGGGCCUGGCCUCCCUGGCCCACAUCGCUCGCAACUCUCCCGCCAAAAUCGAGGACCCGGCCGUCAACACCUUCAUCAACGGCGCCAUCUUCUCCACCCUGACCAACGUCAACUUUGCCGAUGACCGCUUCCUGGAGUUUGUGUCUGAGGCCCGUGCCCACCACGCCCGCCUGUCCGCCAAGAUGGCUGCGGCCGGCGUGCAGGUGCCCGCCUCCGCCACCGAGCAGCAGGUGUGGUUCGGCUCCAUGCCGCACCCGCUGCUGUGGAACUCCCAGGCUGCGGCGCUGGGCGGCGUGGGCGACAUGCUCGAAGUCGCUGCAAAGGUGGGUGGGGGCGGUGUUCACGUGCACGGUUUAACAAUUAGGAGGGGCCUGCCUACCAACCUGCGACUGCUCCCAGACCGUGCGCUACCCUCGACCCAGAUGCCCGCCGUUCGUGCUGUUGACCUUCCGCUGCCCAUGCCCUGCCUUCCACCUCACAGACCGGCAUUGCUGAGCGCCAGAGGGUGCUGGGCGAGACUCUGGCGGGUCUGCAGGAGCUGCUGGUGUACGGCCUGAAGGGUGUGUGCGCCUAUGCCCACCACGCGGAGGCCCUGGGUUUCACCGACCCCACCGUGUACGCCGAGAUCCAGGUGCGUGGGUGCGAGCGCCCCAGGAAUGCGCGCUCUGCAUGAAACACGAAAUGGCACCUGGAACAAAGUAAAAAUGGGCGGGUGACUGCGUGUACGAAAGGUCCGGUUGCUGCUUGGUCCGUGUCUUUGACUGACCCAAUCCUCCCGCAUCCUCUAUGCCGGUUCGCAGGGGGCGCUGCACUUCCUGAACACGCCCGGCGCCAAGGACGUGGGCCAGGUUCUGGACGCCUGCUUCAAGUGCGGCGCGACCAACUUCAAGGUCAUGGAGAUGCUGAGCAACGCACACACCGACACCUUCGGCCACCCCGUGCCCACGCCCGUCACGCUCAACCCCGUGCCCGGCAAGGCCAUCCUGGUGACCGGCCACGACAUGCACGACCUGCACAUGCUGCUGGAGCAGACGGCGGGCAAGGGCAUCAACGUGUACACGCACGGCGAGAUGCUGCCGGCGCACGGCUACCCCGGCCUGAAGAAGUACCCGCACCUGGUCGGCCACUUCGGCGGCGCCUGGUACCGCCAGAAGAUUGACUUUGCCGAGUUCCCCGGCGCCGUGGCGGUGACCACCAACUGCGUGCUGGACCCGCUCCAGGUGUACAAGCAGAACAUCUUCACCAUCAACGAGGUGGGCAGGGGCUUGGGGGGGGGGGACGUAUUACUUAACGAUGAUACGUACGGAUGGCACAUGUCGCAUGCAGGGCUGCGCUGCGCUUGAGAGCUAGCAUGCUGUCGGUGGUCAUCACCUUUAUACUCUGUUGAGCCGUGCCUUCUUUUGCACCCUUCAAUAGAAUUGGUUGUCGAAGGUUGCUCCUUGCGCACUCACACCUGCUCUUGCACUUGUCCACCUGCAGACCGGCCUGUCGGGCGUGCCGCACAUCCGCCCCGACGCCAACGGGCACAAGGACUUCACGCCCAUCAUCAACCGCGCACUGCAGCUGCCCGGCUUCACGCCUGAGUUGAUUGAGAAGCGGCCCAAGAAGAAGGAUGUCACGGUGCGUGGGUACUUGGCGAGGGGGAAGGUCUACCUGUUCACGUUCCUAUGCCUGCAUUCUGACUCCUGGCCCGCUGCCCCCAUCCGUUCCAUCUGCACAGGUGGGCUUUGGCCACAAGGCGGUUCUGAGCGUGGCUCCCCAGGUGAUUCAGGCUAUUCAGGAGAAGCGGCUGGAGCACAUCUUCCUGGUGGGCGGCUGCGACGGCUCGGAGCCGCAGCGCAAGUACUACAGCAAGCUGUACCAGUACAUGCCCACCAACACCAUGGUGCUCACCCUGGGCUGCGGCAAGUUCCGCAUCUUCGACCAGGACUUCGGCACGCUGCCGGGCACCGACCUGCCGCGCCUGCUGGACAUGGGCCAAUGUGAGUGCUGCCGGGCUCACGGUGUGGCCGGCGUUGUUGACAGCAGAAAAACGCAUUCGUAUGGGCUUGGCUUUUGUGACUCGGGCCUGUUGCCAAGGACAAGGAGAGCUGGCCUUGGCCAGGCAUCCGCAUGCGUGCCUAUGCCUCCCCGCCGGCCCGCCUCUUAUUUCCCGGCUCUUUCCCCUUCACCUCACAGGCAACGACUCGUACAGUGCGCUGGUGGUGGCGACUGAGCUGGCCAAGGUGUUCAAGACGGACGUGAACUCGCUGCCGCUGUCGCUGGACCUGUCCUGGUUUGAGCAGAAGGCCGUGGCGGUGCUGCUGACGCUGCUGCACCUGGGCGUGCGCAACAUCCGCCUGGGGCCCCGCCUGCCUGCCUUCCUGACGCCCGAGGCGGUUGGCGUGCUGGUGGAGAAGUUCAACCUCAUCCCCGCCAACGUGGCUGACCCCGGCGCGGACAUGAAGAUGAUGAUGAAGAACAAGUAAACGAUUAGCUUGAUGGUAAACUGCGGACGACUGGUGCUUGGCGGCGGUGGAUUCGGAAAAGUUAGGAGCGGCUUAUGUGCGUGCGCUUAACAGUGUAUACAUGUAGUGUAUAGAGAGUAUUACAAAUGCAAAGCUGAUGUGAUUGGACAAUGACGUAACACGUCCCGACUUGACCUCCUUCGACUGGUUCAUGACGUGUGUGUUUGGCACGGUGAGUCUGAACCUGUACAGCUAUUGUUGUGGCAUGCAAUGUGAUGAUUCAUGGUGUGACGAAGGCAAAAUGUAGUAGCUAGCUAGGUAUGCAUUCAUAAAGCCCGGAGAGGCAGCGCCGGCGGUGUGACUGCCCCGCAGCGCACUGGAACUCGCAUGAUGGGACUCACUCUUCGAUCUGAUUCGAUUCGAGCUUACUUCCGGGAAGGCGCAGGGCCGCGGGUACUGCGGCAUUGGAUUUGGAACACUGGGAAAGGUUGUUAAAUGGUGUCCCCGUGAAGGUUGAAGGGGCCGGCGCGUCACGGCCAAGUUCACGGCGCUUUGAUGCGCAUGACGUAACAUCCAUGGCGGAUGGGACACGUUACACUUCGACAGAACAGGCACCUGCAUCCGGCGUCGCCCUUGUUCUGAAAACGUUUUAGCGCCCUCCUUGUCAUGGUGGAUAAGCUCAGAUGGCCGAUAAGGAAGGCGCCCAAGUCCAGAAACUCAGAAAGCCUGUACGGCUGUACCUCAUACCGUACGCUGAAUGCGGGUGAUGGCCUGUGCUGUUUCCGCCUUGCGUGGCGCUGCUCACGCCGUUCUGUUCCAGGUGUUGCGCGCAAGCCUUUUGCCCUCUCGUGCAUGCAAGCGUGCUGCCUUUCCAUACGCCAAAGGCGCUCUUGCGCUUGCAACCGUCCUGCCUUCCGAUGCUAUCCCAACUACGCAUUCGCCUCACGGUCGAGCCGGUACAAUCGUGCCAACCUGGACACAAGGGCCCCUUGGAAGGCAAGGGGGCCUUAGUCACCGUAUGCCAUUCGCCGGCAUACUAGAGCGCUCUGCGCCGCGCACAGACUUAAUCUCGUCUAUGCGUCUAGCAUAGUCUAGCACCCAUAGAGGCGCACACACGCCUUGGCCUGUCCAGCAAGCCCGUUCAGUAUACGGAGCGUCGUCCUCGCGGCAUGCACGCAAGGCGCGAUCGAUGGUCGGUGCGUGGACUAGUCCGUGGAGCAGUACGGUAUGAAUGCGACAUUACAAGAAGGGACAGUCCGACCAAGCAAGGGUGCCCAGCACCCAGGUCAGGAGGGAAUCAUCUCCGGCCCGGUAUGCAGGCAGUGCUAAGCUGUGUCUGUUGAGCGUGCUCUGGGCCGAACAGCCCUGAAGCUAGGGUGCCCCACGCGUGCGUGUGUAUGUGCACAUACACACACUGCGGCCUACCCCUGGGAGAUGCAAGCCCUGGCGCGAUUUACAACAAGUUUCCGCUGUUACAAAGCUGGCACCGUUUUCUUAAGCUGCCUGAUUGGCAGGUGCACGCAUGACAUCGUGCCGGACUUAGGCGUGGGUGUCAGCCCACGGUGUCAGCCCUUGCAACUUACUCAGAGGUUCGGCACAUCUCACCCGUUCUCGAAUAAGCAACAUUUGUGUGUAUCAGGUCAUUUCGUUUGCAUUAACAUACCGUACUGCUAUUACCGUGCCACCAACAAUACAUUGGAAGGUGCCCUCCCACGGCGCCCGCACAUACCACAUGAGUACCGCAACCUGACCACAAUCCUGGCAACAACAGCAGGCAACAGGAGUCACGUAUGUACGGCUGUGCACUGCAGGGCUCACACCACAUAAGAAUAAUUGCUUGCCGGGGGAUGAAAUGCGCUGCGGGUUUACAUCCAUUCCAUACACCGGCUCAAGAUAAAUGCAGUGCUGCUGGUGCAAUUGCCCGUGCAUGGAUCGCGUCAAGUUUAACGAGGCGCAAUGUAUACAUUUGUUGCUAAGCCCUGUGGCAACCAUGGCUGGUUAGCCUGCAAAAUUCUACUGACGCGUGUGCCGCACGUCAUGCGGUUUACUUGUUCUUCAUCAUCAUCUUCAUGUCCGCGCCGGGGUCAGCCACGUUGGCGGGGAUCAGGUUGAACCUGUCCACCAGCACGCCCACCGCCUCGGGCGUCAGGAAGGCGGGCAGGCGGGGCCCCAGGCGGAUGUUGCGCACGCCCAGGUGCAGCAGCGUCAGCAGCACCGCCACGGCCUUCUGCUCAAACCAGGACAGGUCCAGCGACAGCGGCAGCGAGUUCACGUCCGUCUUGAACACCUUGGCCAGCUCAGUCGCCACCACCAGCGCACUGUACGAGUCGUUGCCUGUGAGGUGAAGGGGAAAGAGCCGGGAAAUAAGAGGCGGGCCGGCGGGGAGGCAUAGGCACGCAUGCGGAUGCCUGGCCAAGGCCAGCUCUCCUUGUCCUUGGCAACAGGCCCGAGUCACAAAAGCCAAGCCCAUACGAAUGCGUUUUUCUGCUGUCAACAACGCCGGCCACACCGUGAGCCCGGCAGCACUCACAUUGGCCCAUGUCCAGCAGGCGCGGCAGGUCGGUGCCCGGCAGCGUGCCGAAGUCCUGGUCGAAGAUGCGGAACUUGCCGCAGCCCAGGGUGAGCACCAUGGUGUUGGUGGGCAUGUACUGGUACAGCUUGCUGUAGUACUUGCGCUGCGGCUCCGAGCCGUCGCAGCCGCCCACCAGGAAGAUGUGCUCCAGCCGCUUCUCCUGAAUAGCCUGAAUCACCUGGGGAGCCACGCUCAGAACCGCCUUGUGGCCAAAGCCCACCUGUGCAGAUGGAACGGAUGGGGGCAGCGGGCCAGGAGUCAGAAUGCAGGCAUAGGAACGUGAACAGGUAGACCUUCCCCCUCGCCAAGUACCCACGCACCGUGACAUCCUUCUUCUUGGGCCGCUUCUCAAUCAACUCAGGCGUGAAGCCGGGCAGCUGCAGUGCGCGGUUGAUGAUGGGCGUGAAGUCCUUGUGCCCGUUGGCGUCGGGGCGGAUGUGCGGCACGCCCGACAGGCCGGUCUGCAGGUGGACAAGUGCAAGAGCAGGUGUGAGUGCGCAAGGAGCAACCUUCGACAACCAAUUCUAUUGAAGGGUGCAAAAGAAGGCACGGCUCAACAGAGUAUAAAGGUGAUGACCACCGACAGCAUGCUAGCUCUCAAGCGCAGCGCAGCCCUGCAUGCGACAUGUGCCAUCCGUACGUAUCAUCGUUAAGUAAUACGUCCCCCCCCCAAGCCCCUGCCCACCUCGUUGAUGGUGAAGAUGUUCUGCUUGUACACCUGGAGCGGGUCCAGCACGCAGUUGGUGGUCACCGCCACGGCGCCGGGGAACUCGGCAAAGUCAAUCUUCUGGCGGUACCAGGCGCCGCCGAAGUGGCCGACCAGGUGCGGGUACUUCUUCAGGCCGGGGUAGCCGUGCGCCGGCAGCAUCUCGCCGUGCGUGUACACGUUGAUGCCCUUGCCCGCCGUCUGCUCCAGCAGCAUGUGCAGGUCGUGCAUGUCGUGGCCGGUCACCAGGAUGGCCUUGCCGGGCACGGGGUUGAGCGUGACGGGCGUGGGCACGGGGUGGCCGAAGGUGUCGGUGUGUGCGUUGCUCAGCAUCUCCAUGACCUUGAAGUUGGUCGCGCCGCACUUGAAGCAGGCGUCCAGAACCUGGCCCACGUCCUUGGCGCCGGGCGUGUUCAGGAAGUGCAGCGCCCCCUGCGAACCGGCAUAGAGGAUGCGGGAGGAUUGGGUCAGUCAAAGACACGGACCAAGCAGCAACCGGACCUUUCGUACACGCAGUCACCCGCCCAUUUUUACUUUGUUCCAGGUGCCAUUUCGUGUUCCAUGCAGAGCGCGCACGCCUGGGGCGCUCGCACCCACGCACCUGGAUCUCAGCGUACACGGUGGGGUCGGUGAAACCCAGGGCCUCCGCGUGGUGGGCAUAUGCGCACACACCCUUCAGGCCGUACACCAGCAGCUCCUGCAGACCCGCCAGAGUCUCGCCCAGCACCUUCUGGCGCUCGGCGAUGCCGGUCUGUGAGGUGGAAGGCAGGGCAUGGACAGCGGAAGGUCAACAGCACGAACGGCGGGCAUAUGGGUCGAGGGUAGCGCACGGUCUGGGAGCAGUCGCAGGUUGGUAGGCAGGCCCCUCCUGAUUGUUAAACCGUGCACGUGAACACCGCCCCCACCCACCUUUGCAGCGACUUCGAGCAUGUCGCCCACGCCGCCCAGCGCCGCAGCCUGGGAGUUCCACAGCAGCGGGUGCGGCAUGGAGCCGAACCACACCUGCUGCUCGGUGGCGGAGGCGGGCACCUGCACGCCGGCCGCAGCCAUCUUGGCGGACAGGCGGGCGUGGUGGGCACGGGCCUCAGACACAAACUCCAGGAAGCGGUCAUCGGCAAAGUUGACGUUGGUCAGGGUGGAGAAGAUGGCGCCGUUGAUGAAGGUGUUGACGGCCGGGUCCUCGAUUUUGGCGGGAGAGUUGCGAGCGAUGUGGGCCAGGGAGGCCAGGCCCUUGACGGAGUACACUAGCAGGUCCUGCAGCCCAGCGACCUCGGGGGUCUUGCCGCACACGCCUGCACGCGGAAUAGGAAGGAGGAGAGGGUGGGGCCACAGCGGGAGGAGGGAAGAAGGUAAGGGGGAAGGGUAAAGGGUAAAGGGGCUGAGCGCAUGCCACGAGAAAGUUGGGAGGGGAUGCGCGGAAGGAAGAACGCAACAGUAGUAGCAAGCGCAACACCCACCGAUCUCAGUGCAGCCAGUACCGCUCUUGGUCUGCUCGCACUGGUAGCACAGCAUCUUGUCGCUCUCCUGAAUCACGGAAGCGGUGCGAGGACAGCGGGGUGACGACACGCAAGCAAUUGCAUGGCGACAGCGACGCAACUCACCAGCGCCUUGUUGGCCUCCGCCAUCUUGGCCUUGAUGGAUGCGGCGUUGCGAGCCUGCUGGUCGCCAGCAAACAGGUUGGGCAGCUGCCAGGCGAGCACCUGGAGACUGGUGGCUCGACGACCAGAGGCGCGGAACAUGCCGCUGACCGCAGACUGCGCGCCAGACGCCAGGCUACCACCAAGGGUGGUGCCGGCCAUGCCCAGGCAGCGCGACAGCAUUGUCGAAUCGAAAGGUUAUGUGCCGAAUGUGUCGGAUAAAGCGAAUGUGCUUGCGCAAGGAUUGCUGUUCCUGGCCUUGCUGGAUUCGCCGAGACGUGUGGGGGCCUCUGUGGGCGCUAUACUAUGCUAGAUGCAUAGACGAGGUUACAGAUUUGUGCGCGACGCAUGCACAAGUAUUGCGGAUGUACGAUGACUAAGGCCCCAUUCGGAGGGGCCCUUGCGCACGGGGCUGCCGAUUGGUAGUUUGCUGGGCAACUUCGCCAACAUGCUUAUGGGUGAAUGGAAGGCAGAGAGCAUAUGCGCUGACCCUCGGGCUUUCCCUGAAAGCGGAGGGCACCGUAAUACUGCCGGUGGGCCGGGAGUUAAGAUGUGCCGCUAUACGCAGUGGAUGGGCGUCCCGCAGUUGGAUGCUGCAGUUAAGCAAGGCAUUUUACCGCACAUGAAGGAGUAUGUUACGCACAAGCACCUAAUGGCGCUGAUACGGUUCAGGCUAGGAUGUUGGGAUAUCGAGGUUAAUCGCCCCGUGGCGGGGGGCCGGUACCGUCCGCGCAACGAAAGGGUGUGCAGGCUGUGUCGAGGCGGUGUAGAAGAUGAAAAGCACGUUAUGCUGGAGUGCCCAAUUUAUGCUAACAUUCGGUUGGCUUCUGGUAUUACAGGUAGCGAUAUGAAAAAGAUUAUGCUUGACACGGACACGCAAAAGUUGGCUGCCCACUUGUACGCAGUUACGACGCUACGGGCACGGACGCUAUUGAUCUAGGCCAUUUGCCUGUUUACCUAACGCGCCCCCGGACUCAAAGGAGUUAGUGGGGCCACAUGGACUCGAACCCAUGUAAAUGCUCAUGCUCAUUGCAGCACCCAGGCGCGAAUGUACCGGCUGCGACCGCAUGGGCGACAAAUGUUGAAACAGCACAGGAUGGGAGGACGGUGGCAAGACCGCCUUGGGCGAAAGAACUACAGCUUGUAUGCACUGUACUGGAGGGCUGCGUUACAUCCUUCUGCAGCCCGAACGGAGCGAGGAGAAACGCUUGUAGGAACGCUUGUAGGAACGCUUUUGUACAGCUGGAUAUGUUUCGGAGGGCCAGGGGAGGGACCGCAUGCGAUUACCGACAUGCGAAGCAGCGCGCAGCCAGCUGGCUUGUGCAGUGCAGGCUGAUGCCUAUAGAUGCGGAAACUCAUCAUGCGCUCGUGUAUGUGAUUAAACGGCGUUCGUUCGUGGCAAAAUCGAUAACGGUGUCAGUGCAGCGUUGCCGACCCCUUGUAUCGAGCCCCGGUUCAAAAAGCCCUUUAACGCGCUUAGUUCAUACUGUAUAGCCAAGCAAGGAAACAAACCCCUUCUGCCUCGACUGGGGAAAUUGCGCCAGCUGUUUUGUGCACCCUAGGAACUGUACCUGCGCCCUCGGAUACUUGCGUGUUAUCAGACAAAACUUCCGAGCUAGCCAGGAAUGCACCCUCAGCUUAAACAGCAGCUGGUGCUGGAGGCCGUGACCGGCCUUGCGUUCUCGGAGCCUUGGCUCAACCUGAGCACCAAGCCAUUCGACUAUAGCGCUGCAUUCAGCAAGCAGGCAAGGUCGGGUGUGACUGAGAGGUGCAGGGCGCGAAGAAAUGUUGGCCCGGCCCUCCGCACCCGGCGCCGGGCCCAGGCCUCGUAAACGCUCGCACUUCAGCACGCCCUGCUCAGUCAGCUCACCUUGAAUCGUAAACUCUUGGCUCCGCAGGGCGGCGCCGCGGCCGGGGCCGUGGCAGCAGCGGCCAUGGCCGCUCGCCCCGAAUCCAUCCUGGAACUGACAUUCCAGCGCGGCGCCUUCAGCACAUGGAUGCAGCAGCCCGCUGCGGGCGGGGCAGCGGCAGCAGCAGCGGCCACCAAGGCGCACUUGCCAGAGGGCUUGCUGCAGGGGCUGACGGGGCUUGCAGCGCGGCUGCACGGUCUCAUGGAUGCACUGGCAGUAGCAGGCGGCGCAGCGCCGGGCGGCGCGGCAAGGCCUGCUGAUGCGGAGCCGGCCACCACGGCUGCUACUGCCGGCGGCUAUGGAAAUGCGGCGGCAUCCAUGGACGUUGACGUGGGGGUGUCAGUGGCGGCCGCAGCGGCUGUGACGGCGGGCGCGGUGCGGUCCGAAUGGACGUCGGCACUGAGCAGCAAGUGGGUUCGUGCACGCACACUGGGCAGGAUGGGUGCGCGGUAGAGCGCCGCAUCAGCAACAAGCAGGAGGCUUAUGGGCACCAACUGGGGGGGGCAUCACACGCGACAGGGUCAGGGACGGGACUGUCUCAACCACGGUUGCGAGGGUGUGCAGUGCACUCACACGCCCCGUGUUAUGCCCGUGGCUGGGUUGCAAUCCGCCGCGCAGGUCGCAACGCAUGCUGCGACUGGACUGCCUGCCCCAGGUGGGGAGCGGCACGGGUGGGGCGGGGGGAGAAGGUGGGUGCCACGGGGGCCGUACCGGCCGGCGGGGGCAGUGGCACGGCCGGGCGCACUGGUGCAUGCCGCGAGGGCGCUUGGCGGCUUUGGCGGUCCUGCGGGUCAGGCGGCAUUCAGCCAGAUGGACUCACACUGUUGCUCUGCCUCCCCCCCCCCCCCACAUCCAUAUGUCCUGUGCUACUGGACGGCGCCGGUGC
rnacentral:lncRNA from 1 species